AGCAUAAAAAAUGGAAAAACUACAUUAAAGAUAUGUAAGAUUACCAUUUUUCACUUAAAAAAAAAGACGGUUUAUCUCCAUAAUGUAACAUUACCGUUUUAUAAAAAAAAUACUAAUAAAAUUGACCUUUUAAGGCUCCAUAGAGCGUCCACAUCAGCAAAAAAAACUUCUCCCGAAAGAUGACAAGUUGCAUAAAAUAUAGUUUUACAUUUUAAUUUUACUAAUUUUCGAAAAUUAUAAAUAAUAUGUAAACAUACAGCACAAAAAAUGGAAAAACUACAUUAAAAAUAUGUAAGAUUAUCAUUUUUCACUUAAAAAAAAGACGGCUUAUCUUCAUAAUGUAACAUUACCGUUUUAUAAAAAAAAACAAAAAACAUUCUAUAUAAUUUUGCAAAUAAUAAAUAUAUGUAAAAAUACAACAUAAAAAAUGGAAAUACUACAUUAAACAUAUGUAAGAUUAUCAUUUUACAUUUUUAUUUAAAAAAAAUAAAAUGUAAACAUACAACAUAAAAAUGGAAAAACUACAUUAAACAUAUGUAAAAUUACCAUUUUUCACUAAAAAAAAGACGGUUUAUCUCCAUAUAUAAUUUAGAAAAUAAUAAAUAAUAUGUAAACAUACAACAUAAAAAAUGGAAAUAAUACAUUAAGCAUAUGUAAGAUUACCAUUUUACAUUUAAAAAUAACAAUAAUAUGUAAACAUACAACAUAAAAAAAAUAGAAAAACUACAUUAAACAUAUGUAAGAUUACCAUUUUCACUAAAAGAAAUGGCUUAUCUUCAUAAUGUAACAUUACCAUUUUAUAUAAAAAAGAAAAAAAAACAUAAAUAUAACUAUUUGACUAUUUGUCCAAGUUCUUGUAUUAAACAUUGCCGUUUUACAUUAAAAAUGGAAAAAUACAUUAAGAUUUAAACAUCUAUCUUAAAAUAUAAAAUAUCGAUAUUAACUAAAUAUAAAGUAUAAGAAAGAGAAAUACUCAAUAUAUAGAAAAAUAAAUAAUAAGUAAAUAUUAUAAAUAUAUAAAUAUACGAAUAAUAUAUACAAUAAUAAGUAAAUGCAUAAUUUUUAAAAAAUGUAAAGAGUACAUUAAAUAUUAAACAUCUAUCUUAAAAUGUAAAAUAUGGAUAUUAAGUAAAUAUAAACUAAAAGAAAAAGAAAUUAUACUAAUAAAAGGGACCCAUUGAGGAUCCAUAGAGCAUCCACAUCAGCAAAAAAGCUUCUCCCGAAAGAUGACACGUGGCAUAAAAUAUAGUUUUACAUUUUAAUAUUACUAAUUUUCGAAAAUUAUAAAUUAUAUGUAAACAUACAGCAUAAAAAAUGGAAAAACUACAUUAAAGAUAUGUAAGAUUACCAUUUUUCACUUAAAAAAAAAAGACGGUUUAUCUCCAUAAUGUAACAUUACCGUUUUAAAAAAAAAUACUAAUAAAAUUGACCUUUUAAGGCUCCAUAGAGCGUCCACAUCAGCAAAAAAAACUUCUCCCGAAAGAUGACAAGUUGCAUAAAAUAUAGUUUUACAUUUUAAUUUUACUAAUUUUCGAAAAUUAUAAAUAAUAUGUAAACAUACAGCACAAAAAAUGGAAAAACUACAUUAAAAAUAUGUAAGAUUAUCAUUUUUCACUUAAAAAAAAGACGGCU
rnacentral:lncRNA from 1 species